AGAGUUUGAUCCUGGCUCAGGAUGAACGCUAGCGGCAGGCCUAAUACAUGCAAGUCGAGGGGCAGCGGGGUAGCAAUACUGCCGGCGACCGGCGCACGGGUGCGUAACACGUAUGCAACCUACCUUAAACAGGGGGAUAGCCCGGGGAAACUCGGAUUAAUACCCCAUAAUACAUUUGGACUUCAUGGUUUGAUUGUUAAAGAUUUAUCGGUUUAAGAUGGGCAUGCGUUCGAUUAGCUAGUUGGUGAGGUAAUGGCUCACCAAGGCUACGAUCGAUAGGGGGUCUGAGAGGAUGAUCCCCCACACUGGUACUGAGACACGGACCAGACUCCUACGGGAGGCAGCAGUAGGGAAUAUUGGUCAAUGGAGGCAACUCUGAACCAGCCAUGCCGCGUGUAGGAAGAAGGCGUUCUGCGUUGUAAACUACUUUUGAUUGGGAACAAAUGACUCUUGCGAGAGUAGCUGAGUGUACCAAUAGAAUAAGCCACGGCUAACUACGUGCCAGCAGCCGCGGUAAUACGUAGGUGGCAAGCGUUGUCCGGAUUUAUUGGGUUUAAAGGGUGCGUAGGCGGCUUUUUAAGUCAGUGGUGAAAGCCGAUCGCUUAACGAUCGAACUGCCAUUGAUACUGAAAGGCUUGAGUAUAGAUGAGGUAGGCGGAAUUGACAGUGUAGCGGUGAAAUGCAUAGAUAUUGUCAAGAACACCAAUUGCGAAGGCAGCUUACUAAGUUAUAACUGACGCUGAGGCACGAAAGUGCGGGGAUCAAACAGGAUUAGAUACCCUGGUAGUCCGCACCGUAAACGAUGAUCACUCGCUGUGUGCGAUAAACAGUACGCGGCCAAGCGAAAGCGAUAAGUGAUCCACCUGGGGAGUACGCCCGC
rnacentral:rRNA from 1 species